AUGAAGAUAAUUGACUGAGACUUGAGACUGUCCACACUGGACCAGAAGCAUUUUAAUGAAAUAAAGUUCCAACAUUACGAAACUCGAUAACAACAUUGUCUUCAUUUUUGUGUCAAUCCUCGGUAUCAGCAUCAGAAGGGAGCCAGUAUCGCCAUACGGCACCAAGGGAGCUACCCAUGAUGUUCAUGAUAAUAGCCGAUAGCGCAGGCGGCAAGGCGACC
rnacentral:lncRNA from 1 species